GCCGCGGCCGGGAGGGACCGAGCGGGGAGCAAGGCCUGCGGGGAGGCGCAGGAUGGACGCGUUGGCUGUCAUGAUGUAGGACCUCCUGACCUAGAACCAUGCCCGGCGCAGGGAGAACAACGAGCUUACGGACCGGGUGCGGGGGCUGCUGUGCGAGAAAGCCUACCUGCUGGCCCGGGAGCGUUCGCCGGCCCACCUGGUGGCUUUCCCUGGACGUUUAACGGCGACUCCGCCCGGCCUCCCGACUUUUUGAUGCAGGCGUUCUCUUACAUGACUUUCUUCGAGGCUAGAUUCUCGAAAGACAUCCUGAAGGUGGCUUUCUUAAUUAGCUGCCUCACCGGCUGGCGGAGCAGUUCGUAGUCGCCUACAUCGAGAGGGAGAGCCCCGUCCUGGCUCAGUACUGGGGCUUCGUGGACGCGCUGUAGCGGGUCUUCGCCGUCGUGGGUAGGAAACAGUCGGGCCGGAUCCCCGGUGUCUGGGGAGCGGCUGCCGGCCGGGCCCGCGCGAGCCGCUUCACUCCUACAAGCCCGGCUCACUAGUUCCAAGCUGCUGGACUUUGACCCUCGCUGGGAAGCUUGAUCGCCGCCUGUUCUCGCCAAUCUCUAUGCCUUUGCACUGCCCAGCAACCCGGUCACUGCCCAGGACCUGUUAAAAGUUGAAUGGACCUCCCAGAAUCACGCCGCUGCCACCGCCGUUUCUAGAGACGGCUUUUGGCCACCUUUGAGAAUCAGGGUCAAACUUGGAAGGGCCUGCAUUUGUCACACUUCCUCGGACACUAAUUUGGAUAGUUCAGGCCCAGAGACGGCUUCCCGGGUUAGUGUGCCUGACAACACUGAAGAAAAAUUGUGACAUUUUCCUUCCCCAGAAUUACUUCGUUUUAUACAUUUCACUUCUCUUCUGAAAUCACAGCAAUGCCAGUUUGCGCCUUUUGGUCUGAGGAACGCAGGCCCUGGCCACUACCAGGAAAAAGUCCACUCACAAAUCGCAGCUGGUAUGGACUGGUACUGCCCCAAAUAAGAGGAACCUAAGAGCUUGGCUCCAAGACCCCCCACCAUCCCGGUGGGUUUGCUUGGCCUUUAGGAUGUGUGACUACAGCUUUUGGGUAGGUACAGGGCAAUCAAGAUUGAGGAAGAACACUUCAGCAAAGCAACCAUUAUUUGUCCACAAAAACAGUGAAAAACAGUGAUAUAAAAUUAACAAACCAAAUAUAAAUCUAACGCCA
ensembl:lncRNA LINC00667 long intergenic non-protein coding RNA 667